rnacentral:rRNA from 1 species
GGGUGAGUAACGCGUAUGCAACCUGCCCGUUUCAGCGGGAUAACCCGGAGAAAUCCGGCCUAAUACCGCAUGUGGCCGAGGGGAGGCAUCUUCUUUCGGCCAAAGGAGGCGACUCCGGAGACGGAUGGGCAUGCGUGACAUUAGCUUGUUGGCGGGGUAACGGCCCACCAAGGCGACGAUGUCUAGGGGUUCUGAGAGGAAGGUCCCCCACACUGGUACUGAGACACGGACCAGACUCCUACGGGAGGCAGCAGUGAGGAAUAUUGGUCAAUGGGCGAGAGCCUGAACCAGCCAAGUCGCGUGAAGGAUGACGGCCCUACGGGUUGUAAACUUCUUUUGUCAGGGAGCAAUUGGGUCCACGUGUGGGCUUAGCGAGAGUACCUGAAGAAAAAGCAUCGGCUAACUCCGUGCCAGCAGCCGCGGUAAUACGGAGGAUGCGAGCGUUAUCCGGAUUUAUUGGGUUUAAAGGGUGCGUAGGCGGAAUAUCAAGUCAGCGGUAAAAAUUCGGGGCUCAACCCCGUCGUGCCGUUGAAACUGAUGUUCUUGAGUGGGCGAGAAGUAUGCGGAAUGCGUGGUGUAGCGGUGAGAUGCAUAGAUAUCACGCAGAACUCCGAUUGCGAAGGCAGCAUACCGGCGCCCAACUGACGCUGAAGCACGAAAGCGUGGGUAUCGAACAGGAUUAGAUACCCUGGUAGUCCACGCAGUAAACGAUGAAUGCUAAUUGUCCGGA